rnacentral:rRNA from 1 species
ACUUGUGGCUAGGGGUGAAAGGCCAAUCAAACCUGGAGAUAGCUGGUUCUCCCCGAAAGCUAUUUAGGUAGCGCCUCGGACGAAUACUACUGGGGGUAGAGCACUGUUAAGGCUAGGGGGUCAUCCCGACUUACCAACCCUUUGCAAACUCCGAAUACCAGUAAGUACUAUCCGGGAGACACACGGCGGGUGCUAACGUCCGUCGUGGAGAGGGAAACAACCCAGACCGCCAGCUAAGGUCCCAAAUUACUACUAAGUGGGAAACGAUGUGGGAAGGCUCAGACAGCCAGGAUGUUGGCUUAGAAGCAGCCAUCAUUU